AAGGAGACAAGGUUAAUGCUAAAAAGCCUAACAAUAUUCAGGAGAAGUUGGGAGUGGAACUCACAAAUAAGGAAUCUUGGAAUCUACAAGAACACUUACCAGUUGAUGGAGAGACAGUAGAUAUCAGAGACUUGGACAACGUACUAGGAAACAUGGGGAUGAACUUACCAAAGAAGAACUUGGAGAGCUGACAAGAAACCUUCCAGUUGAUGGUAACUCAGUUUAGAUAUAAAAAAAUUCUUCAUAAGAGGUUGAGGGUUUACAUAUGAGUAUUCUAAAACCAGUUUAAUUUCGUGUUAAAAAAAAAAACCUUGCAACAUCUCAGAAAGAUUCAGUUUCAGAGCAAGAACAAAG
rnacentral:lncRNA from 1 species